rnacentral:rRNA from 1 species
AUGGCUCCUUCGGCGUCACACCUCGUCGACGAGCUCCUGGAGGAGAUCUUCCUCCGACUGCCCACCCCGGCCGCGCUCGCACGCGCCUCAACCACCUCCCCCCGCUUCCGCCGCAUCAUCACCGACCGCUCCUUCCUCCGCCGCUUCCGCAAACUCCACCCGCCGCCGCUCCUCGGGUUCGCCGACGAACGUGCAGGCUUCCACCCCGCCGAAGCGCCCCAUUCCUCCGCGCCGCUCGCCCGUGCCCUCGCCGACACCGCUGAUUUCACCUACUCCUUCGUCCCCAAGCCCAGUAAUGACCACUCCUGGCGUCCCUGCAACGUCCGCGACGGCCGCGUCCUCCUCGAGAGCAGCCGAUACGGGACCUUCAGAGAGCUCGCGGUGUGCGAUCCGUUGUCACGGCGCUACGUGCUGCUUCCGCCCAUGCCCGAGCACAUGUCAGUCCAGGAACAGCGCCCUUGGGAAUUCAGGUCCAUCCUGGCUCCCAUUGCCGAGGAGGAUGAGGAUGAGACGUCGUUCAAGGUGAUAUGCUUUGCGGACUAUGAAACCAAGCUGGAUGUGUUUGUCUUCUCUUCAGUCACACGCCAGUGGUGCAUUGCUGCAUCUCCCAGCUGGAUUUCUUUGGGCGCGGACCGCCCAUGGGGGCUGCGCGUGGUGUUUGGGGAAUCCCGUGGCUUCUCCUGUUUUGACUAUGUACGUGGCUGCUUCUACUCGGCGUCGCCAUGGAAAGACAGGUUGCUCGUGCUGGACACACGGACAAUGGAGAUUUCCACUGUCAAUGAUCGCACUGGCUACCAUAUGCAGCUCAGAUGGCUCCCUGGCCAGGCAGAAGGAGUUUCUGCCAGAGACAAUGGGCUGGGCAGACUCCGCCCUGCUCAAGUAAGAAGUCUGCCUGCCAUUGUAGUGGGUAGAGAAGGAGCACUUGAGAUGUUUUCUCUUGUCGGGGAUCACAGUCCAAAUGGAUCGUUUCAUCUCUAUCACACAGCUCAGGAUACUAACAGUGAAUCUCCCAAGGAAUGGCAGCUGGAGAACAUUAUACAGUUGCCUGGCCAGUAUGAUUAUUUCACCUUGGGCGCGGCUGAGGGAUUCUUAUUCCUUGGAGCCACUUCAGAAGACCAGUUGGAUAUUGAUGAAGACUCACCAGUGUGGUUGUCGAAGACUGACUGGGAUGUAGAUUAUUUUUCGCUGGAUGUCAAGACUUCUGAACUUGCAAAGGUUUGUAGGAGGAGGAGGGAAUUCUUCCACUAUGAAGAUGUUUACUGGUACUUUGGCUUCCCUCCAUCUUUGUCAAAACCAAGUAUAUGA